rnacentral:rRNA from 1 species
AUAACUGUGGAAAAGAAACUAACAAGGAUUCCCCUAGUAGCGGCGAGCGAAGCGGGAAGAGCUCAAAUUUAUAAUCUGGCACCUUCGGUGUCCGAGUUGUAAUCUCUAGAAAUGUUUUCCGCGUUGGACCGCACACAAGUCUGUUGGAAUACAGCGGCAUAGUGGUGAGACCCCCGUAUAUGGUGCGGACGCCCAGCGCUUUGUGAUACAUUUUCGAAGAGUCGAGUUGUUUGGGAAUGCAGCUCAAAUUGGGUGGUAAAUUCCAUCUAAAGCUAAAUAUUGGCGAGAGACCGAUAGCGAACAAGUACCGUGAGGGAAAGAUGAAAAGCACUUUGGAAAGAGAGUUAACAGUACGUGAAAUUGUUGGAAGGGAAACGCUUGAAGUCAGACUUGCUUGCCGAGCAAUCGGUUUGCAGGCCAGCAUCAGUUUUCCGGGAUGGAUAAUGGUAGAGAGAAGGUAGCAGUUUCGGCUGUGUUAUAGCUCUCUGCUGGAUACAUCUUGGGGGACUGAGGAACGCAGUGUGCCUUUGGCGGGGGUUUCGACCUCUCACACUUAGAUGCUGGUGAAAUUC